UACGGAGGAUCCAAGCGUUAUCCGGAUUUAUUGGGUUUAAAGGGUGCGUAGGCGGCUUAUUAAGUCAGUGGUGAAAGCCUGCAGCUUAACUGCAGAACUGCCAUUGAUACUGAUGAGCUUGAAUAUACUUGAGGUUGGCGGAAUGUGUCAUGUAGCGGUGAAAUGCUUAGAUAUGACACAGAACACCGAUUGCGAAGGCAGCUAGCUAAAGUAUGAUUGACGCUGAGGCACGAAAGCGUGGGGAGCAAACAGGA
rnacentral:rRNA from 1 species